AGCCGCGGUAAUACUCGCGGUCCAAGUCGCAGCCAUCAUUAUUGGGUCUAAAACAUCCGUAGCUUGCUUAAUAAGUUUCUUGUGAAAUUCCAUGUCUCAAAUAUGGAGCGGGCAAGAAGUACUGUUAAGCUAGAGACUGGAAGACGUAAGAAGUACGUUUGGAGUAGCGGUAAAAUGUGUUAAUCCCAGACGGACUAACAACAGCGAAGGCAUCUUACGAGGACAGUUCUGACAGUAAGGGAUGAAGGCUAGGGGCGCAAAAGGGAUUAGAUACCCCUGUAGUCCUAGCAGUAAACACUGCACACUAAACAUUAGUACCUCCUCGAGAGGUGUUAGUGCUGAAGAGAAGUCGAAGAGUGUGCUACCUGGGAAGUAUAGUCGCAAGGCUGAAACUUAAAGGAAUUGGCGGGGAGACACUACAACGGGUGACGCGUGCGGUUCAAUUAGAUUCUACACCGUGAACCUCACCAGGAGCGACAGCAGGAUGAAGGUCAGUCUGAAGGGCUUACCUGACACGCUGAGAGGUGGUGCAUGGCC
rnacentral:rRNA from 1 species